rnacentral:tRNA from 1 species
GGCCCCGUGCUGUGGCGCUUUAACAUACGGCCCUGUCAAGGCUGAGAUCGCCAGUUCGAAUCUGGUCGGGGUCGCCA